rnacentral:rRNA from 1 species
GUAGGCGAUAGAAAUGUAUGCCUUGGCGCAAUAGAUACAGUACCAUAAGGGAAAGAUGAAAGAACUAAAUUAACCACUAAAAAGCAAAGAUAAACUCUUUUACCUUCUGCAUAAUGUACUAGCUAGAAAUAACUUGACACAGAGAACCAUAGCCAAGUCCCCGGGAACCAGACGAGCUACUCAAAAACAGCUGAAAGAGCACACCCACCCACCUAUGUGGCAAAAUAGUGGGAAGAUUCAUGAGGAGCGGUGACAAGCCUACUGGGCCUGGUGACAGCUGACUAUCCAAGAUGGAAUCUUAGUUCAACUUUAAACUUACCCACAGAAUUACUUAAUCUUCCUGUAAGUCUGUUAGUCUAAAGAGGGACAGCUCUUUAGACCCUAGGGAAUAACUUUUCUAUAGGGAGUAAAAAAUAUUGCCCCCAUAGUUGACCCAAAAACAGCCACCAAUUAAGAAAGUGUUCAAGUUCAACAUCUAAUUAUCUUAAAUUCCAAUCACUUUACCGAACUCCUAACACCACCUUGGACUAAUCUGUUAUGUAAUAGAAGCAAUAAUGUUCAUAUAAGAAAUGUGAAAAUAUUCUCCAUUGCAUAAACUUACAUCAGACUGGAAUAACCCACUGACAAUUAACAGCCUAAUAUUAAUAAGCGAUACAACAAGCACCCUAUUAUUUAUUCUGUUAAUCCAACACAGGCAAGCUCUAAGGAAAGAUUACAAAAAGUAAAAGGAACUCGGCAAAUCUUACUUGGCCUGUUUACCAAAAGUAUCACCUCUAGCAUUUCCAGUAUUAGAGGUACUGCCUGCCCACAGACAUAUGUUCAAUGGCCACGGUAUCCUGACUGUGCAAAGGUAGCAUAAUCAUUUGUUCCCUAAAUAGGGACUUUUACGAAUGGCCACAGGAGGGUUCAGCUGUCAUUUACUUGUAAUCAGUGAAAUUGACCUAUCCCUGAAGAGGCAGGUAUAAACAAAUAAGAUGAGAACACCCUAUGGAGCUUUAACUCAUUAAUGCAAAUAAAAAUUCAAAAGCCUACAGGCCUUAGCAUACCGUCUCUGCAUUAAAAUUUUGACUGGGGUGACCUCGGAGUAUAAUUCAACCUCCAAACAGCCUAGACUAAGACCGCACUAGUCUAAGCGAGCUGACACACAUUGUUUCAAUAAUUUGAUCAACAGAAGUAGUUACCCUAGGGAUAACAACACAACCCUAUUCUAGCGUCCAUACAGACAAUAGGGUUCACAACCUCAAUGUUGGAUCAGGCCAUUCUAAUGGUGUAGCCUCUAUUAAGGGUUCAUUUGUUCAACAAUUAAAGUCCUACGUGAUCUGAGUUCAGAUCGGAGUAAUCCAGGUCGGUUUCUGUCUAUUUAACAUUUCUCCUAGUA